rnacentral:lncRNA from 1 species
CUUUUAUUUUAAAAAAAGUUAUUGAACUUGAAAGAUGAUUUUCAUGAUUACUAUAAAAAUUAAAAGAUGUGGUAUAUUAAAUAUGAAAACUAUUGAUCAUGGCUUUGAGAAAGCAAUUGUAGGCCUGUGACGACCUUCAAUAAUGAGAAAAUCCAUACCCUAUAGUCAAAGUAGGCAGCUAUAAAAGACCCUCAGAUGAAAAAUUGAAACAAUCCAAACUGUAAAACUAAUUGCCUAGUUUAUAACAAAAUAAAUUACAAAAAAUAAAUAUGACCGGUAUGAAACAACAACAACCACUAAAUUUUAGUGUCAGACUAAACUGACAAAAACUACAGGCUCCGAACUUUGGACAGGCACAAUAGGAAUAUGGCAAGGUUAUAUAAAAAUAAGAUGUGGCAUGAUUGCCAAUAAGACAACUCUCCACCAGACAAC